rnacentral:rRNA from 1 species
UUAGGUCGACCCGCUGAAUUUAAGCAUAUCAAUAAGCGGAGGAAAAGAAACUAACUAGGAUUCCCUUAGUAACGGCGAGCGAACAGGGAAGUGCUCAUAACCGAAUCCUGUGGCGUGAUGUCAUUGGGAAAUGUGGUGUUUGGGUAUCCUUAUGUGAUAUUUUUCUGAUUCUAAGUCCACGUGAUUGUGGCUCAUAGCCCAAGGAGGGUGCAAGGCCCGUAAGAAUUGGAAACUUAUUGCUCUUAGGUACCCUAGAGUAGGGUUGUUUGGGAAUGCAGCCCAAAGUGGUGGUAAACUCCAUCAAAAGCUAAAUACAACACGAGUCCGAUAGCGAACAAGUACCAUGAGGUAAAGUUGAAAAGAACUUUGAAGAGAGAGUUCAAUAGUACGUGAAACCGCUCAGAGGUAAGCGGGUAGAGCUGAAAGUGGUGUGAUGAUUGAAGUCUUCUUAUUUGCACAUUUGAGAUUUGUGGAUCUUUACGGACCGCUGCUCUUAUGUUGUUAAAAUUGGUUGGCCGUUUAUCUCAUGCCUUAACCACGAUCGGCGAUAUAUAUGAGUCUACCAUUGGUUGGAGGUACCCAAUGCUGCCCUGUGCGGUGUUGGUUUUUAUAAUGACUAAUGUGGAGCUUGUAUUUUGCUGAGCAUAGCGGUGCAAGUCUUAUGACGCACAAGUGGUGAUAUGAUCAGAUUGUAGGAAUAUGACUCGCAAGAGUUGUGUACUUAUUAGUUUGGUUAUUGUUGCUGCCUCUGUGUAUUGUGCCCAUAAUCUGUGGUUUUUUGUAGGCUUUCUACCCGGCCCGUCUUGAAACACGGACCAAGGAGUCUAACAUAUACGCGAGUCAUUGGGUUCUACGAAACCUAAAGGCGAAUUGAAAGAGAAGGAUUGCUUUCGUAAUCUGAGGUAUGAUCUGUGUCUUUACGGAGAUGCGGCGCAAUACCGACUUGUCUCAUGUUUUUUAAACGAGGCAACGUAAGAGCGUAUAUGAUGGUACCCGAAAGAUGGUGAACUAUGCUUGCAUAGGUUGAAGCCAGAGGAAACUCUGGUGGAGGACCGAAGCGCUUCUGACGUGCAAAUCGAUCGUCAAAUGUGAGUAUAGGGGCGAAAGACUAAUCGAACCAUCUAGUAGCUGGUUCCCUCCGAAGUUUCCCUCAGGAUAGCUGGCACUUGGGAAAUAAACAGUUUUAUCCGGUAAAGCGAAUGAUUAGAAGCAUUGGGGACGAAAUGUCCUCAACUUAUUCUCAAACUUUAAAUGGGUAAGAUGCCACACUCUCUUAAAUUAUGGAGUGAUGACAUUGAAUGUAAGUGCCUAGUGGGCCAUUUUUGGUAAGCAGAACUGGCGAUGUGGAAUGAACCAAAAGCGGUGGUUAAGGUGCCUAAAUAAGCGCUCAUGACAAACCACAAAAGGUGUUGGUUGAUAUAGACAGCAGGACGGUGGCCAUGGAAGUUGGAAUCCGCUAAGGAGUGUGUAACAACUCACCUGCCGAAUCAACCAGCCCUGAAAAUGGAUGGCGGUGGAGCGUUUUACCUAUACCGCGCCAUUACUGUAUGCUAAAUGCAAGGACACAGUAAUGUGUAGGAGGGCGACGUGGUAAGCAUUGAAGCCUAGAAUGUAAAUUCGGGUGGAGCUGCCAUGUGUGCAGAUCUUGGUGGUAGUAGCAAGUAUUCAAGUGAGAUUCUUGAAGACUGAAGUGGAGAAGGGUUCC